UACGGAGGGUGCAAGCGUUGUUCGGAUUUACUGGGCGUAAAGGGCGUGUAGGCGGAUGUGCAAGCUGGGAGUGAAAGGCCUGGGCUCAACCCGGGACGGUCUCCCAGAACUGCGCAUCUAGAGAGAGUCAGAGGCAGGUGGAAUUCCUGGUGUAGAGGUGAAAUUCGUAGAGAUCAGGAGGAACACCGGCGGCGAAGGCGGCCUGCUGGGACUUAUCUGACGCUGAGGCGCGAAAGCGUGGGUAGCAAACAGG
rnacentral:rRNA from 1 species